rnacentral:rRNA from 1 species
UUCAGAGACGGCAAGCGUUGUUCGGAUUUACUGGGCGUAAAGGGUCCGCAGGUGGUGAGGCAAGUCUGGUGUGAAAUCCCGCGGCUUAACCGCGGAACGGCGCCAGAAACUACCUUGCUGGAGGACGGUAGAGGAGACUGGAAUUCACGGUGUAGCGGUGAAAUGCGUAGAUAUCGUGAGGAACACCGGUGGCGAAGGCGAGUCUCUGGGCCGUUCCUGACACUCAGGGACGAAAGCGUGGGGAG